rnacentral:rRNA from 1 species
AACGAACGCUGGCGGCAGGCCUAACACAUGCAAGUCGAGCGGCCUUUCGGGGGGGCGUUGGUCGUGUGGGUAGCGCGUGGGAAUAUGCCCUUCUCUACGGCAUAGCCUAGGUAUUCUGAGAGUAAUACCGUAUGCGCCCUGCGGGGGUAACACUUAUCGGGGUAGGAUGAGCCCGCGUUGGAUUAGGUCGUUGGUGGGGUGAUGGCCUACCAAGCCGAGAAUCCAUAGCUCGUUUGAGAGGCUGAUCAGCCACACUGUGGCUGGGACACGGCCGAGACUACUACGGGAGGCAGCAGAGGGGAAUCCAGGACUAUGGGGUCAACCCUGAUGGAGCUAGGCCGGGUGAGUGAUGAAGGCCGGAGAGAGGAAAAGCUCGUUCAGCCGGGAAGAUAAUGACGGUACCAGCAGAAGAAGCCCCGGCUAACUCCGUG